UGCCAUGUGCACGCAAGGCUGGACAGGGCUGGAGUCUCUAGAUGCCAUCAGGGUUUGACUGCACACUGGAAAUUGCUUUUGAAAGAAGGUCACUAUCUUUCACAGCAGAAUAGGGAGAGAACACUGCAGGAGAAAAUAGGGCUUAUUAUUGUACACUAUACGUUCUUCUGUUGCUUUUCAAAGCUGUUUUCAAAGGGCAAGUUUCAUGUCAGGUCUGAAUGCGUAGCAGUUGCUUCUUCUCACCCUACAGAAAGCACUUUCCCACUACCUUUGUGUGGAUCUUGGCCUAAUGGCCCUGGGCUACUGACCGACACUCAUAUUGCCCACCAUGGAAGAGACCUGAGGUCCUCUGUGCCUCCUGGCACUUGGAGAAAGGCUUUAGUGUCUUAGUUAUCACAGCAGCUCUGUGGGUGAUGCUGGAUCGGCAUUCUUAAUUCUAAUGACCAGAUGACAGUUUGAACUCCAGAGAUUUAAGUGGUUUUCUAAGAUCAUAAAAGAAAGGCUUCUGGCAAGAAUGGUUUCUGUCAAGCUUCUGGUUCUGUAUACUUUGAAAAAAAUAAGUGCCAUUAAAGAUGAGUUGAAAAUUAGUCCCUGAGUAACAUGUAGAAUAUGAGUGUCGAAGGAUCCUUGCUCUGGGAAACACCAGCCACUCCUGCUGCCCAACCCAAGCCGUCCAUGUCUCUCCACUGCCAUCGUCUUGUCUCCUGUAGAGUCUUGGCCUCAUGGCGGCUAGAGACUGUUGGAGCAUAAAUCAGAUGUCAUGCCGCUGCUCCAGGCCUCACCUGGUCCUCCAUCUCAGGCAGAGGAAAAGCCCCUGUCUUGUGAAACCCGUCAUACAGCUUUCCUCAGCCAGUCCCCUGUCCCUCUGACCAUGUUGGCAGCUGCCCACUCCUCCCUCCUUCCUCAAGUGCACCAUGCCCACUUUCCAGCGACCUUUGUCUUUUCUGUGGAGACUUUUCCAGGACACACGUAGGGGUCACACCCCAGUCACCUAGGUCUCUACUCUACACCUAAGUCACUCAUCCCAAGGCCAGGUCUUUCCUCGCCUUGGCUUACCGUGUUUCCUACCCAGUUCUCCCCCUUCUGCUUGACAGUGAGUACAGGCUUGGCUUGUCCUCUGUCAUCGCACACCUGAGCAUAGGGACCAGUCCGCCUUUGUCCACUGCCCUGCAGCACUC
rnacentral:lncRNA from 1 species